GUACUGCUGAGGUGUUCCAACUAGGACGAAACGGCCGUCCAGUGC
rnacentral:hammerhead_ribozyme from 1 species